rnacentral:lncRNA from 1 species
GUUAAAUCCCAACAAAUUCCAUGCAAAAUUCAAAGUAUGUUACUUGUGUCGAUUGCCAACUAGAAACCAACUCAGAGUGCGUGGUGAAUGGUCUGAAAAUUCAGCCGGAAUUGACCUCCGGCAGAGGCUUGGUUCCCAUUCGGCCUCUUUGAAGACCUUUAGCAUCUCCUUGAUGACAAUUUUGCACGCAAGACAAGAAUAGCUACAUUGAGUAUGCACAUCUAGUCGAGACACUGACUUUAAGAAAAGCAUCCUCACUUUGCUGGAAUGCACCCCAAAGUCCAAUUGGUGGCACAAAGCUUCGGAAUAUAUGUGACAAGAUCCAAUUGUUCGAGCAUAUUGCUGGUAACGAACCGAAAAGCUAGAAGCAAAAAUUUUCAAAUAUUUUAUUAAACUUAAAUUUAAGAUUUAGGUUCGUACCUGUAAGUUUCAUGUAUAAUAGACUCGUUUACAGUCGGUGGGGUAAGAAAUCACUUGAAUCUUCCCUGAAAGAUUCUAGAGAGAGAGUGCACCAAAUUUAAUACAAACAAAAAAUAGAUGUAAGUAGACAUACAUUGUAAGAAGGACACUGUGGAUUAAAUGGGUAAAUCAGGUAUACCUUCGGAAGAGUAAUAUUUGGAUUCAUAUGCCGAGGAAAGAGGACUCUCCUUUACUUAAAAAAUUGCUGAAUGUUAGGGACAGCAUUGUGAGGGCCGAACUCACUGUUGAACAUGCUGUUGGCACACUCCAACUGGAUUUAUGGCAGAUUCAGAAUCUCAGCUUCAUAUGAAAUUUUUAGGCUGAGGGGGUACUAA